rnacentral:snRNA from 1 species
CUGGUUUCUCUUCAGAUCGCAUAAAUCUUUUGCCUUUUACUAAAGAUUUCCGUGGAGAAACAGCGUUG